rnacentral:ribozyme from 13 species
GACAGGAUGAAAAAAAAAAAAAAAAAAAAAAAAAAAAAAAAAAAAAAA